CAGAAAAUAAUUUAAAAAAAAUAGUAAUUUUGGAUAUUACUUUUGAGAAAUUCUCUUUUCUGA
rnacentral:tRNA from 1 species